GGCAGCCAAGGGGAAAGGAGCUCUGCCUGAGUGAGCAAAGAGGGAGGCCUGACUGCACUAGUAGCUACCAAUAUGGGUCGGAUCUCCAAGGCAGCUCCGAAGCUUCAGAGCCACUUCGGCCGGAUCAAAGCAGUAACCCAGUCCGGCACUCUGAAUCGGAUUACUGGCAUCUGAAGCGGCUGGAUCCGAAGCUGGAUUGAAUACCUGCCUACUCGCACGGGCCUACAGAGGAAUUUUUAUGUAAAGCAUAUUCUCCUCAUGUUUGAAGACUGCUGCAUCUGAACAGAACCCAGAGUCAACUCGGCUAUUAAAUUCCUCUCUCCAGUACCCAGCCUGAAGAGCACAAAGACAGCAUAUUCCUAAGAGUCCAAGUGAAAGAGGAA